AAUGAACGUUGGCGGCGUGGAUUAGGCAUGCAAGUCGUGCGAGAACCGUAGCAAUACGGGGACAGCGGCGAAAGGGAGAGGAAUACGUGGGUACCUACCCUCAGGCUCAGGAUAGCCAUGGGAAACUAUGGGUAAUACUGAAUAAUGUCUUCGGACCAAAGGUGUGAUUCCGUCCGAGGAGGGGCCCGCGUCCUAUUAGCUAGUUGGUGAGGUAACGGCUCACAAAGGCGAAGAUGGGUACGGGAUGUGAGAGCAUGAUCCCGCUCAUUGGGACUGAGACACUGACCAGACACCUACGGGUGGCUGCAGUCGAGAAUCUUCGGCAAUGGGGGAAACCCUGACAGAGCGACGCCGCGUGCGAGAUGAAGGCCUUCGGGUUGUAAAUCGCUGUCAGUGGGGAGGAAAUGCCGGUGGGUUCUCCCAUCGGUUUGACCUAUCCGCAGAGGAAGGACGGGCUAAGUUCGUGCCAGCCGCCGCGGUAA
rnacentral:rRNA from 1 species